AUUACCCUCAGUAACGGCGAGUGAAGCAGCAAUAGCUCAAAUUUGAAAUCUGGCGUCUUCGACGUCCGAGUUGUAAUUUGUAGGGGAUGCUUCUGAGUGGCCACCGACCUAAGUUCCUUGGAACAGGACGUCAUAGAGGGUGAGAAUCCCGUAUGCGGUCGGAAAGGCGCUCUAUACGUAGCUCCUUCGACGAGUCGAGUUGUUUGGGAAUGCAGCUCUAAAUGGGAGGUAAAUUUCUUCUAAAGCUAAAUAUUGGCCAGAGACCGAUAGCGCACAAGUAGAGUGAUCGAAAGAUGAAAAGCACUUUGGAAAGAGAGUUAAAAAGCACGUGAAAUUGUUAAAAGGGAAGGGAUUGCAACCAGACUUGCUCGCGGUGUUCCGCCGGUCUUCUGACCGGUCUACUCGCCGCGUUGCAGGCCAGCAUCGUCUGGUGCCGCUGGAUAAGACUUGAGGAAUGUAGCUCCCUCGGGAGUGUUAUAGCCUCUUGUGAUGCAGCGAGCGCCGGGCGAGGUCCGCGCUUCGGCUAGGAUGCUGGCGUAAUGGUCGUAAUCCGCCCGUCUUGAAACACGGACCAAGGAGUCCAACAUCUAUGCGAGUGUUCGGGUGUCAAACCCCUACGCGUAAUGAAAGUGAACGGAGGUGAGAACCGCAAGGUGCAUCAUCGACCGAUCCUGAUGUCUUCGGAUGGAUUUGAGUAAGAGCAUAGCUGUUGGGACCCGAAAGAUGGUGAACUAUGCCUGAAUAGGGUGAAGCCAGAGGAAACUCUGGUGGAGGCUCGCAGCGGUUCUGACGUGCAAAUCGAUCGUCAAAUUUGGGUAUAGGGGCGAAAGACUAAUCGAACCAUCUAGUAGCUGGUUCCUGCCGAAUUUCCCCUCAGGAUAGCAGUAACGUUUUCAGUUUCAUGAGGUAAAGCGAAUGAUUAGAGGCCUUGGGGUUGAAACA
rnacentral:rRNA from 1 species